rnacentral:lncRNA from 1 species
UCCUCCGCAUACUCCACGUCAUCAACGCUCCCGAGGGCCAGCCUCGCCACGUGUAGUCUUAUGUUGUCCACACGUGCUCCUACGUGGACAUAGCCCUCGUGGUACUUAACCGAAUAUUCUAACUGAAUAACCGCCUCUAGCUGCUGGUGAGCCAAAGCGUAUCUCAACGCCGAUUCCUUCGCUUCGAUUAACGGAAACUGAUACUUCCGACCACCGCCACCGGCCCUUGUAACUCUCAUCCCCAUAACCGGAGUGUGACCUUUCAAAAUCCACAACCCGUGCGCCUCCGUCGCGUAAGUGAAACCAAGGCUUCGUUUUGGCGGCGUGUGGGUUAACGUCUGCAACCCAACGCCGACUUCUCUAAGAAUUAGCCAUUUCGCUAUUACAUACCCAAGCGUGCGAGUGAAACAGAGCUCAGCAUCCACGCCAAUGGUGAUGAGAAACGUUCGCAAUACCGGUGCGUGGUUGGACGACAGAGCUUCAAGGUGUGGAGAAAGCAAGUAAUUGAAGUAGAAAGAGCCAAUUUCAGCGGGAGCAUCACAAGCGCAAACCCAGAACAGUCGGAUGAGAAAGAUAAGGUUAAAAAAGCCGGAGAAAGAUUCCGGCGAGUGAGAAUCCAUGAUCCAGGAAACCGGGUCGGGUUUAAGUUUCUGUAAACGAGAUCGAGGGCAGGUGCUCUUCUGCCCGGCAGGUGACCGGGAAAUGAUUUCUUGAAGAAGUUGAAGAAUCAGAGGAAGGAAUGGCUUAUCCGAAGAGAGAGGACAGGCGUUGGAAACCCAUAAGGUCUUCGUCUCACCAAAUGAGGAGAACCCAAUAAGUUCAAGGGCGAAACUAAGAGAUGUAUCGGAAUCAGAGGCGGUGGAGCGGUGGGCAGUGAGUUGAAUGGAGGAGUUUCCAUGGGUGGCGAGGUUGAAGGUGAAAGAAGAGGAGUGAGUCGUCCAAUCGUCGGAAUU